CUUAAAAUAUUGGGAGCGAGCAAAAAUCCAAUCUCCCGCUUUUUCUCUUUGGCGCUUUUUUUUACAUCGACCCUCUCUCAAUCUCUCUCCGAUUCUCUUAAUCCCUCUCAAUUUCUCUCCUAUAAUUGAGCGAUUCCAGCCAACCGUUACUGCCAAGACAUCGUGGCUCCUUCCAUCUCUCCAAAGACUCCUACUCUCGUCACACCUCUCUCUCUCGCUCGCUCAACUGUGAGAUUAUAUACAUUCAGUUCUCUUGGUUUUCCCUUGUUCUCUCUCUCUCUCUCUCUCUCUCUCUCUCUUUCAUCUAUGCAAAGAAAUCGUGGCUCCUACCAUCUCUCCAACAAGUCCUACUCUCGUCACACCUCUCUCGCUCGACUGAGAUUAUAAAGAUUUUCAGUUCGCUCGAUUUCUCCCCUGUUCUCUCUCCCUCUCUUGAUUGAGAAUUGAACCAGAGAUCGUACGUCUCAACACAACAACACACGGCCAAUUAGUUUAGCUGAUGGAAGAAACAAGUGAGGCACCUAGCCUUGGUAUGUCAGGGACAUCUACAGGCCUCAAACGUAAAAGAGGGCAUACAAGAGCUAAUCGAAUAAAUAAUAGGUCGAGUAAUGAUAGAAGAGAAGUGCAACUAGAUGAAGAUGAUCAGGUGAUCGACGCCUAUGCUGCAGAAUUUUCCUCAUACAUGGGCACACUUGCUAAGACCCCAACCCUAUUGCCACUAUCCUAUAAGGAUUGGAGAAAGGUUCUAAUUCAUCACAAAGAAGAUGCAUGGAACAAAAUAAAGGAAAAUUUUAUUAUAGCUGAGAAUGGCCAACGUAUUGCUUUUAUGAGGAUGGGCCACAUGUGGAAAGAGUUCAAGGGGUGUCUGGGGAGAGAAACAAAGAAAAUGUAUCCUGAUUUGUAUGAUGCUACUCGACCUACUGAUCCGAUAGAGAUUCCAACUGAUCAAUGGGAGUAUCUCAUAAGGAUGUGGACAUCUAUGGAGUGACGGGUAAUAUGAUUUUGUUUGAAAUAAUGAAUUAAGAGGCUUCGUUUUACUUAAUUCUAUGAGAUAUAUAAUUUAAUGAUGAGUUUGAUGCAUGAUAGACUAAAUCUAACAAAAACAAAGAGAGCAGAAAAGCACAAACGAUGUCACAUACAGCUGGCCGGACGACCUUUGCACAGGUUAAACACAAUCUAAUAAGUUUCUUAAGCACAACUCAUGAACUUUUAGUAGUAUCAUUAUGCAUUUGAAAUUAUUUGAUCUCACUCUCAUAUCUAUUUGUUCAGAGGAAGAAGAAUUCUGAUGGUGCGGAACCUUCUAGAAUUCAAAUACAUAAGGUUACCCACACAAGGAAAGAUGAUAGGAUAGUAGAUGACGCAUCAAGAGAAAUCAUAGAUACAUUGGAUAAGAAAUUAGAAGAACUGCCCCCAGAAAUUGAGAAAUCAAAAAUCUGCCCAAGACAACAUAUAUGUGGUCGUUCGAGGCCCUGAGUUACAUGGCCGAAUGCGUGGAGCAGGCCUAGGAGUGAAGCCAAGUAGGGUUGGCCUUACACCAAAAAAUAUUGAGGAAAAGAAGAAACAGGACAGUGUGCAAGCUAGAUUUGUAGAGUUGGAGGGACAGGUUAGCAAUUUGACGGGAAAAUUAGAAGAAAUUGAUGAUUUGAAAGCCCAAGUAGCACUUCUAACCCAAGCGCUUUUAGGUCGACAUAGCUCACAGAGUUCAGUUCAUUUAUCUGACAAUUGAGAAUAUUGCAGAGGCUAACCCAUAUUUAGGCAAUUUAUUUGGCAGGUACUUGCAUGGAUUUUGUCCUCUACUUAUAUCCUCUGAUGAUGAUGCAAAGUACAACUUGGGGAUUGAAUAACUACCGUGAUGUGUGAACAUUUAUUUUGAAAAACUUAUUAUGUCACUGUUAGCUUGUGAGCUAUAGAUUUUUUUUAUUUUUUUUUAUUUAUUUUUUUAUUUUUUUAUUUUUUAAAUUGAAUAUGUUCUAUGGAUAUUGGAUUUUUUUUAUC